CACAAUUAUAACCGACCAUACAACACACGAAUAGAACGAACUUUAAACUGUCAUUUUGAAAACUAUACGCAAAAGUAGUGGAUUGCGGUCCGGGUUCAGACUACCAAAUCAGUUUUUCGAAAUUUGAAGGUUUUUCCGGUUCCAAAAAACGGACAAAUUUCAAAAACAAGGAAUGACAGUUAAAAUGUUUCAAAAAACAACUACUAGACGAAGAAACAACAACUUAUUCGGUAUGUGUUAAGUGUUGCGUAAUGUGUUAAAAACCAAUGUAAACGUCCAAUAAAAUUACAGAUUCCCUGAAGAAGAUCCAAUAAGGAUCGAAACGUUGGAAAUAGAAAACAUAUAGUUGUUUUUGAUCCCCGAAAAGACUGAAACGCCACAAAAAUACCCAAAAAGUCUACCAAACAGUCGUCGCCAAAGCUGUUGAUAUAGUUAGCAGUUGAAAAAAGUUUCUUAUAAUUAUAAUGUAUGUUUUCAACUAUUGCGUCCAGUGGGUCUCGAACCCUGAUCGAGUGAUUACCGGUCACAGCCGAUACCCCUGUACCAACGGGACUCAGUGAGAGGGAGAGUGGUUGAAGGCUACGCUUUCGUACUGCUGUCGCAUUGAAGAUGAAAAGCGGAAUCUAUUUUUAGAUUCGAGGUCCACCAGACCCUCAGUUUUGGGAAAGGUUUGAAAUGUGCGUUUGGAAACUGAUAUCAUAUUUUGUUAUCAUUUAGUAUUUUUAUGUUAUCGCGAUAGACUAAAAUUAUUGAUAACUAAAUUUGUUAUCAUCUGAUUAUCAUCAAUUGAAAAAAAUGAUAACAAAAAUAACAAUAUGAUAACACAGAUAACGUAGUUUAUUAUCAAAGUGAUAUCACUUAGUUAUCCGCCUUUGCUCGGGAAUCUAUCACUAUUCACACUUUCAGUGAUCUCUGUCACGGUCGCCAACUAACGUUUGGAGUUCGGAUGAUAGCAUAACAUACCACGUUCUCUGUUUCAACUUCAGUACUCGACUGCCCGUGUGUUUCGCUUACCAUAUAUCUUAAAGGCUACUUGCUCAUGCUUGCUCAAACUCAAGCCACCAGCGAUGUUUCCAAAAACAAUUUAAUUACAACCAUAUGGCCCUGCAGCGUAAGCAUAGCUGCGCCCAUGCGGAAGGCUAAAAACAGUAUUCAACAGGCAAAAGUGUGUAAACAAUAGAAAGGUUCGAGACGA